GGGGCAGUAGCUCAGUGGUUAGAGCAAACGACUCAUAAUCGUUCGGUCGCGGGUUCGAACCCCGCCUGCCCCA
rnacentral:tRNA from 1 species